AACGAACGCUGGCGGCAUGCCUAACACGUGCCAGUCGAACGAGACCUUCGGGUCUAGUGGCGCACGGGUGCGUAACGCGUGGGAACCUGCCCUUAGGUUCGGAAUAACUCCCCGAAAGGGGUGCUAAUACCGGAUAAUGUCUUCGGACCAAAGAUUUAUCGCCUUUGGAUGGGCCCGCGUUGGAUUAGCUAGUUGGUAGGGUAAAAGCCUACCAAGGCGACGAUCCAUAGCUGGUCUGAGAGGAUGAUCAGCCACACUGGGACUGAGACACGGCCCAGACUCCUACGGGAGGCAGCAGUGGGGAAUAUUGGACAAUGGGCGAAAGCCUGAUCCAGCAAUGCCGCGUGAGUGAUGAAGGCCUUAGGGUUGUAAAGCUCUUUUACCCGGGAUGAUAAUGACAGUACCGGGAGAAUAAGCUCCGGCUAACUCCGU
rnacentral:rRNA from 1 species